rnacentral:rRNA from 1 species
AUUGAACGCUGGCGGAAUGCUUUACACAUGCAAGUCGAACGGCAGCACGGACUUCGGUCUGGUGGCGAGUGGCGAACGGGUGAGUAAUACAUCGGAACGUGCCCAGUCGUGGGGGAUAACGUAGCGAAAGCUACGCUAAUACCGCAUACGAUCUAAGGAUGAAAGCGGGGGAUCGCAAGACCUCGCGCGAUUGGAGCGGCCGAUGGCAGAUUAGGUAGUUGGUAGGGUAAAGGCCUGCCAAGCCGACGAUCUGUAGCUGGUCUGAGAGGAUGAUCAGCCACACUGGGGCUGAGACACGGCCCAGACUCCUACGGGAGGCAGCAGUGAGGAAUUUUGGACAAUGGGCGCAAGCCUGAUCCAGCCAUUCCGCGUGCAGGAUGAAGGCCUUCGGGUUGUAAACUGCUUUUGUACAGAACGAAAAGGCUCUGGUUAAUACCCGGGGCUCAUGACGGUACUGUAAGAAUAAGCACCGGCUAACUACGUGCCAGCCGCCGCCGUAAUAC